rnacentral:lncRNA from 1 species
AACCCAAAACUCUGAGUUCAAAAGUAUUCCUUUACUUGAUGUGACACAUCUGUGAUAUUUUUUUUUUUAUUAAUCAUAAAGGUUAUGAAGCAUUUCUCAUUGGGAAACAGAUUUUUUUUUAUAGCUGGGUGGAGAACAAUAAAUUAGAAGGUUGGAUGGAAAUUAAAGCAGAUGGAUGAGAACGAGCUGGUGACAAGAAAAAGAGGAAGAAGCGCAGGAAGGAAUCUUUCGCUAUUUAUAUCUACAAGGUUUUGAAACAGGUUCAUCCCGACAUUGGUAUUUCCAGCAAAGCAAUGUCCAUCAUGAAUUCCUUCGUUAACGACAUCUUUGAGAGAAUUGCAGCAGAAUCUUUUCGUUUAGCUCAUUACAAUAAGAGGAGUACUAUCACUAGGCAAGAAACUCAAACUGCAGUACGAUUGUUGUUGCCUGAUGAACUGGCAAAACAUGCUGUUGGGGAAGGUACCAAAGCUAUCACCAAGUACACCAGCUCUAAAUAAAUUUUCAAAGCUUUCUUUAUAAAAAAAGGCCCUAAUGAUAAAGAUUAGCUGUUGCCUGCUUAUCCUUAAAUUCUAUGCCACAUAUCACUCAUUUCACAUAGGCAUUCUUAAAGGAAUUCACACUUACUCUUUGCAAAAGAAUUUAAUGAUAUACUUCAACUUUGCAAGUUGACAUCUCAGCUCAUCUUUAUCCUUGUUGCUCUGCAUCCAAUUUCUUUCUUUCAAAAUAUGGAUCUAAUCCUAUAUACGCACAAUAAUGAGAGGUGAAAUAAUUCUAUGCUUUGCCUUUCAUGAUUCCUUGGUAUCAAAAUUCAUUGGCUGACAUCAGCCUUAAUAGCUUUCAAUGCAGUUGUUUUUCCAUAAGUUUGCUAUUUAUCAAAUUCAGCAAAAUGUCUUCAUAUCAGUGUUGUUGCUUUCAGGUGUAUGCAUCACGAAUCGUUUGAACUUCUGGUUCUGUGCACUUAUCGAAUAUAAAACAUUUGAUUUUGUCAGUAGUAACAACAAAUUCGAUGAAAGUCCUUUCCUUUCACAAAGUGAAUUAAUGUUGCAUCUCAUAACCAUCAGAUUUCAGCUGUGUGAGAUGAUAUUCCAUUUGCAUUAAAUGACCUAAUUAAAGUGAAGAUGACUUCUUGUUUCUAAACACAAGGUAUUACCUCACUUUCAUGUAAAUUUUUCAAAUAUGCUUAAAUGGAAGUAGUUCUAAAUAUUGUACUACUAGUUCAAUGAUGAUAACAAGAUUCUAAUUAUCAGGUACAACAAUGAACAUAGCUGUCUUUCGGUAUGUCAGCAACUGCUUAUUUAUUUUUUCUACCUCAUCAGAAAGCGAUACUGACUACUCAAAUGAGAACUGAUACUGCAUUCAUGUUUAAAUCUGAUUAUGUCACUCAAUAUAAAGUGCAAUAAAUUCGGUAUCCAUCAAGGAAUACUCUCUAAAUUAAGAGUGCUAUGUCAGUAAGCAUUUCUAAUAUACAGCAAGAACACUCUUCCAACUUUCCAGCUCAGAACAUGUAUGUAAUAUGAUUAAUAAGUUUGAAAAAAACUAUUUUCAUAUGAUAGACCAAGUAUUUGGAAUUACAGAAUAUUUUUCUUUUUAAAAAAUAUAUCAUAAACACAAUAAAUACUCAUAGAAUUUCCAAUUUUAUAUACAACAUAAAAGGGUAAAACGUAAUCAAAGCACAUGCAUGAUGAAAAUUUCAAAUACAUAGUAAAGUAUUCACAUGAAGAUCCACUAUGAUAAGUGGAAGCCUUCAUCAAGCAUUUAGAAUUAUGGGAUAUCCUUCUUCUUUUUUCCAAAACAAUUAUUAUAAGAAAUAAACAUUUAUACACCAGAAAGAAAAACUCAGAAGAAAAAUAUGGAUUUUUAAAAAAUGCUUUUAUCCUACAAAUUUUCCGAUUACUUAUGGAAUAAACUUACCUUUCAAUAAAAACUACAUUCCUAUUUAUAUAUUACACAGAUUUAGUUGAACAAUGCUAAGUUCUUGAACAUUCUUUACCCUAAACAUGCACCAUCUUGCUAUACAGGAUGCAAUUUGAUCUGACCACUUUAUAAGUUGAGUGAUCACUUCAGCACAACAGAACUCUUUUGAACAAUGAAUUCUAUUGCAUCUGCCUGCCCCACUCUGAAAUAGAUAUCGAGGGUUAAUUUGCAUUUCAAUAGCUAUUUACAUACAGUGUAAGUGGCAACAGUUGUAUUGCCUCACUGAAUGAUUCCAGUACUUUCCUGCAAUGUGUUUUGAUUCUGUGUGACAUUAUUUAGUGUAGAAAUAAAAUUUAUAAAACUUC